UCCGGUUUGUCACCGGCAGUCCCAUUAGAGUGCCCAACUCAAUGUAGCAACUAAUGGCAAGGGUUGCGCUCGUUGCGGGACUUAACCCAACAUCUCACGACACGAGCUGACGACAGCCAUGCAGCACCUGUGUCCCGGCUCUCUUUCGAGCACACCGAACUCUCAUCCGGCUCCCGGGCAUGUCAAGGGUAGGUAAGGUGGGGAUGACGUAUAGGAGCUCGAC
rnacentral:misc_RNA from 1 species